UGGGGAAUAUUGCGCAAUGGGGGCAACCCUGACGCAGCCAUGCCGCGUGAAUGAAGAAGGCCUUCGGGUUGUAAAGUUCUUUCGGUAGCGAGGAAGGCAUUUAGUUUAAUAGACUAGAUGAUUGACGUUAACUACAGAAGAAGCACCGGCUAACUCCGUGCCAGCAGCCGCGGUAAUACGGAGGGUGCGAGCGUUAAUCGGAAUAACUGGGCGUAAAGGGCACGCAGGCGGUGACUUAAGUGAGGUGUGAAAGCCCCGGGCUUAACCUGGGAAUUGCACUUCAUACUGGGUCGCUAGAGUACUUUAGGGAGGGGUAGAAUUCCACGUGUAGCGGUGAAAUGCGUAGAGAUGUGGAGGAAUACCGAAGGCGAAGGCAGCCCCUUGGGAAUGUACUGACGCUCAUGUGCGAAAGCGUGGGGAGCAAACAGGAUUAGAUACCCUGGUAGUCCACGCUGUAAACGAUGUCGAUUUGGGGGUUGAACUUUAAGUUUGGCGCCCGUAGCUAACGUGAUAAAUCGACCGCCUGGGGAGUACGGCCGCAAGGUUA
rnacentral:rRNA from 1 species